UCAGUUGCUGGCAUCAGUUCCUGCCAGCAAGGACUAUACCGGAGGCCUCUUUCCUUAACCGGUGAUUAAUGCAAUUGCAAUGAGCGAAUCAGAAAUCAGUAUUCACAAAUAUUUUUUUGCCUUGGCUAAUGUCAGAGGCUUGCAUGCUUAUCCAUGAGAGAGAACGUACGGGUACAGAGGCAGUUGCAGGGGCCGCUGAAACAAAAGUUUGCAUAGCGCAGAUGGUAGAAAAACUAGCGGACAAAAGAGACCUGCAGAUUGAAGGGAACAUUUGGUGAGAUCGCAUGCAGUAUGCAUUCAAACUACACAACUACCAAUUAGGGUUUUCGUUUGCAAAUGACAGGCUGCCACCGGAGCAUGGACAGGUGGUGAUUUGGGGUUUCAAUUUUUCUAUUUUUAAAUUCCAAAGGCUAUAUUUUCUCAGCCAUUUGUCUCUCUGGUACCAUCUUGGAUUAGAUGUGGGUGUUGAAGAGUUUGCCAACUAUAGUCUGUGCCACAUCCACAGAUAAGCAGCUCCGUAAAUAAGUUGGAAGCAGGAGAGGGUUAACACGGUUCCUGGAAGGCUGCAAUGAAUAAUAUCCAAACUCUACAACUCUCGUGACGUCUCUGCACUUCAAUCCAAUUUUGGUUAUGGACCUGUGGUAUGCAUUUUGCUCUUCCUUGAUAGUCUACUUCAUUCCUAUUUUUCUUUGCUUUUGUGUUGUCCCAAACUGUGUCCCCAAAUUCCCACUUGUCGUAAACCUAAAGAAACACUACAAAACAAGCAUUUAGCUAUUUGUUUGGUUGUGCUUUUAAUUCUUCAGAUUGGAAUGGUUCAGACAGAUGUGGGUGGAAACUAGAAAUAUACAAAUUAAAAUGUAUUUACCACAUAAAUAAGAGGACAGAAAUAAUAAUUACAUUAUGAUAGUUUACUACUACUCACAACUUCCAGGCUUCUGUUUGAAUGACUUGUUUGGUUCAUUGGGUUUCAAAAAAAAAUGUUAUCACUUUAUCCAUGGUGAGUUUAACGCAUUUCAUUCCUUGCCUGCCCUUGCCUUCACAAAUGCAACCUUUCUCAUGAUAGGAAUUUGUUGGAUGAUUCUUCACAAAACCUGUGUGCUAUUUUCCUGGCUCUUGUAUUUUACUUUUCCAUGUCUCCUUGCAGUUCUAUUAGCCACCUCGUUUACCUGGAUCGUAUGGUUGCUUCUCCAUAGAUACAACAUCAAGGAGUCAAUGCAGCUAAAAUACGCAUCAAGCAAUCAUUGCAACUGAAAUACGCAUCUUUCCCUCUAACUGUAGUCAUUAUGGCAUGGGCUCUGGCAAAGAAAGUGAUGAGCUCAGUAAAUCCAGUGAGUGUUCAAUUGAUGAAUUAUAUAAAACUUCCAGACCACAAGGAAAAGCUUGGUUAUCAAGAAUGGGUAAUCUCUGAUAUUACUUUCUUGAAAGAGGAAAUUAGCCAAAAACCCUAUUGUCUGUGCACUGUUGCUUCCUACAUAUGGGAUAUCAUGACAGGUUCUUGCAUUAUUUCAUUUCUAUCUUCUAAACACAAUGGAGAGAACAUGACCAGUUCGACUCCCAGUGCUAAUCUUAGAACAAUUGUAUUUGUUGAUGAUCUUGAUCGAUGUCAAGAAUCUGUCAUUCUUCAGGUUUUAUCGGCUAUUAAUCUGGUAUUAGCCGUCUGUGAAAUCAGCGUGGUUCUAGGAAUGGAUAAAGAGUUGAUCCAAUGGGCAAUAAUGAAAAGGUAUGGAGAUAAAUCCUUAAAAAAUAGCAAGUUAGCAGACAAGUAUUUACAAAAGAUAAUACAACUGCCAUUAGACUUGCAGUGUUCCAAAAGCAAAGUAAGGAAGGCCACUCAGAAUCAGAAACAGAUAGAGAAGAUGAUUCCAUGCCAGAAAUAGAUAGAGCAUACAAUGCUCUAUUUUCUGCAUUCGAACAGGCUGGAAAAUAUAAUGUGCCCGAUUUUUAUUAAUAAAAUGCUUGGCUUUGUGGUUCCUAUAUCAGGAGAAGGAAGUAGCUCAGCAGAAAUGGUAGAUGCUCCACCGCAAACAAAACCAGCUGGAAGAAUUGCUAUAGAUAUUCAGGACACAGAUGGAACAAGUUUGUGAGUGACACAGCUACAUUAGUAUGUUAGAAAUCAUCUUAUAUAUCAGAUUUUCUAUAUAUGAGUUUAAGCCCAACUUAAAAGAGGAAGUCCUAAGCCAGAAAAAAAUAUUAGAUAUCUAGAGCCAAGCGUUUCAUAACUUUAAUAUUUGGUUUGUCUACUAAAAUUCUCAUGUUAAAUGUUUAUAGUACUUUUACCGAGUUAUUGCGAGUUUUUGCGAGUU